GUCUGGAAGGCCAAGAUCAAGAUGUCAGCAGAUCUGGCAUCUGGAAAAGACACUCUUCCUGGUUUCCCAAUACUGUCUUCUCACGGUGGUGAUAAUGGUGAUACCAUGUUGAUUGACGGACAGCUUCCCUCUCACAGAAGAGCAAAGCUGGCAACUGCCUGUGGGUGGGCCUAAAGAAAGAUGUGUUCUGCCUCCCCUUGUAAGAAUUUCAGUUUAGAAACCUGAAAUACUGUUUGAAACACAAGUCUCCAGAUGAUAAUUACAGGCUUUGAGCAGAGGAAAGAGUAGUGAAGAAAUCCAGAGCUCUGUAAACAUUUCUGAAGAACGGUGUCAAAUGUAUGCAGAAGUUCAGCCUAGCCCAGGACUCUUGCUGCUCCAGAGCAUCCCAGCAACGGGAAACCCCCCAGACAUCUUCCCAAUGUCUCCCGCAGUCCAUUUGUCAAGGAAGUGAAGAUAAU